rnacentral:rRNA from 1 species
AACGAACGCUGGCGGCAGGCUUAACACAUGCAAGUCGAGCGCCCCGCAAGGGGAGCGGCAGACGGGUGAGUAACGCGUGGGAAUCUACCCAUCUCUACGGAAUAACGCAUGGAAACGUGUGCUAAUACCGUAUACGUCCUUCGGGAGAAAGAUUUAUCGGAGAUGGAUGAGCCCGCGUUGGAUUAGCUAGUUGGUGGGGUAAAGGCCUACCAAGGCGACGAUCCAUAGCUGGUCUGAGAGGAUGAUCAGCCACACUGGGCCUGAGACACGGCCCAGACCCCUACGGGAGGAAGCAGUGGGGAAUAUUGGACAAUGGGCGCAAGCCUGAUCCGGCCAUGCCGCGUGAGUGAUGAAGGCCCUAGGGUUGUAAAGCUCUUUCACCGGUGAAGAUAAUGACGGUAACCGGAGAAGAAGCCCCGGCUAACUUCGUGCCAGCAGCCGCCGUAACAC